rnacentral:tRNA from 1 species
AAUUAAUGAGCUUGUGUAAAAGUAUUUGUUUUGAAAACUUAAGAAAGAAUUAAAAUUCUAUUAAUUU